rnacentral:misc_RNA from 1 species
AAGUCGUAACAAGGUUUCCGUAGGUGAACCUGCGGAAGGAUCAUUAAAAGCGCACAAAGCACGCUGGGCGGCUGGCGAGGGCGGGCGGGGAAACACACACGAUGCAUGCGAUGCGAUGCGAUGCUGCGGCAGAUCUCUGCUCAGCAACAUGAAACAACAUAACAUCAGUACAGCUUUUAACAACGGAUCUCUAGGCUCCU